rnacentral:rRNA from 1 species
GGGUGUGGCAGUGCUAUCCUGAACAAGCCUGAUUCCUUCUGAUCUCGGAAGCUAAGCAGGGUCAGGACUGGUUAGUACUUGGAUGGGAGACCACCUAGGAAGACCAGGUACUGUAGGUG